GCCUUGCUGAAGCCAGCUCGGUCAAGGUCAUGAAGAUUCAAUGGCGAUCCACAGACAAAGUAUGUCUUGCUGUCUUCAGCCACACAGUGCCAAUCGCUAGG
rnacentral:sRNA from 15 species